GGUUUUGCUUGCUUCUCGUGGACCACCAGCAGUUGAAGCUGCCAGCAUGAUCUAAACUUCCCUUUUGGCCAGUUGAGGAAAGAUCAGAUCAUGUGGUAGCUUCACCUGUUGACGGGAUCACGAAAACGAACUUUACU
rnacentral:pre_miRNA from 1 species